rnacentral:rRNA from 1 species
UACGGAGGGUGCAAGCGUUGUCCGGAAUCACUGGGCGUAAAGGGCGCGUAGGCGGCUCAUGAAGGCUGUGGUGAAAGUCCGGGGCUCAACCUCGGAUCGGCCGUGGCGACUCGUGGGCUGGAGCACUGUAGAGGCGGGUGGAAUUCCGGGUGUAGCGGUGGAAUGCGUAGAGAUCCGGAAGAACACCAGUGGCGAAGGCGGCCCGCUGGGCAGUGGCUGACGCUGAGGCGCCACAGCGUGGGGAGCAAACAGG